UACAGAGGUCUCAAGCGUUGUUCGGAUUCAUUGGGCGUAAAGGGUGCGUAGGUGGCGCCGUAAGUCAGGUGUGAAAUUUCGGAGCUUAACUCCGAAACUGCAUUUGAUACUGCGGUGCUUGAGGACUGGAGAGGAGACUGGAAUUUACGGUGUAGCAGUGAAAUGCGUAGAGAUCGUAAGGAAGACCAGUGGCGAAGGCGGGUCUCUGGACAGUUCCUGACACUGAGGCACGGAAGGCCCAGGGGAGCAAAACGGG
rnacentral:rRNA from 1 species